rnacentral:lncRNA from 1 species
CUUGAAGAUGGAAAAAAGUCAAGGGGCGGAGAGUUUUGUGAGCAGGAGGUGACUUAGUUAACUGUCCUGUGGUGUGUCUGUUUUUGUUCCCAGCUGCUGAUGCCCAAAGCCACUGCUUACUUGAACUUAGACUCCAAUGCCUCUGACUGAGAAUUGAGCUGGGAAACAGUCCCUUAGACAUGUACUGCUUUGCUAAAAUGUGUGUGCGCCUUAAACCAGCCCCGCCUCCCACCCACACACACUCCUCAGAAGGUAGCCUAGUCUCUGCAUUGCUCAGAAGUGGCCCACAGGGCUGCCAGUGGUUAAGAGCACUGACUGCUCUUCCAGGGGUCCUGAGUUCAAUUCCCAGCACCCACAAGACCGCUUACAACCAUCUGUAAUGGAAUCUUAUGGU